AAAACAUGGCUCUUUGAGAUUUAUAUAUAAAGAGUCGGGCCUGCCCAGUGACGUAUUUUUAACGGCCGCGGUACUCUGACCGUGCGAAGGUAGCAUAAUCAUUUGCCCUAUAAUUGAGGGCUAGUAUGAAUGGUUUGACAUGAGCAUAACUGUCUCCUUAAAAUUUUAUAAAAUUUGGUUUUUAGGUGAAGAAACCUAAAUUAAAUUGAAAGACAAGAAGACCCUAUCGAGCUUUAGAAUAAUUAGUUAAAAAAUAUAAAUAAAACAAUUAAUUUUAAUUAAAAACUUUGGUUGGGGCGACUGAGGAACAUAUAAAGCUUCCUUAAUUAAACAAUGCUGAUAAGCAAUGAUCCAGGAAAUCUGAUUAAAAAAAUUAGUUACCGUAGGGAUAACAGCAUAAUCUUUUUUGAGAGCUCUUAUCGAAAAAAAGGUUUGUGACCUCGAUGUUGGACUAGGAUAUCCUAAAGAUGUAGAAGUCUUUAAUGGUUGCUCUGUUCGAGCAUAAAAAUCCUACGUG
rnacentral:rRNA from 1 species